UCAAGCUAAUAAGAGCGCAAGGGGAAUGCCUUGGCACUAGGAGCCGAAGAAGGACGUGGCAAGCUGCGAUAAGCCUCGGGGAGUCGCAAACAGACAUUGAUCCGGGGAUUUCCGAAUGGGGAAACCCGGCGGAGCAAUACUCCGUCAUCCUGCGUUGAAUCAAAUAGGCGUAGGAAGGGAACCGCCUGAACUGAAACAUCUAAGUAGGGCGAGGAAGAGACAUCAACCGAGAUUCCGCUAGUAGUGGCGAGCGAACGCGGAAGAGGCCAAACCGAAGGUAGCAAUAUCUUCGGGGUUACGGACAGACAUCAUGAUCAGAGGUAUCUAGACGAACGGCAUGGGAAGGCCGGCGAGACAGUGUGAGAGCCACGUAGUCGAAAGAGAAGACUGACAGUCUGGAUCCAGAGUACCGCAGGACACGAGGAACCCUGUGGGAAGUCGGGGGGACCACCCUCCAAGCCUAAAUACUACCUGAUGACCGAUAGUGGAGCAGUACCGUGAGGGAAAGGUGAAAAGAACCCCGGGAGGGGAGUGAAAUAGUACCUGAAACCGUAUGUCUACAAGCAGUCGGAGCGAAAGCGACGGCGUGCCUAUUGAAGAAUGAACCAACGAGUUAUCUGCACUAGCGAGGUUAAGUGGAAGACACGGAGCCGUAGCGAAAGCGAGUCUGAAAAGGGCGACGAGUUAGUGUAGGUAGACCCGAAACCGCAGUGAUCUACCCAUGUCCAGGUUGAAGCGCAGGUAAAAAUGCGUGGAGGACCGAACCGGUGAGCGUUGAAAAGCUUUCGGAUGAGAUGUGGGUAGGGGUGAAAUUCCAAUCGAACGCGGAGAUAGCUGGUUCUCCCCGAAAUAGCUUUAGGGCUAGCCUCAGGUAGUAAGUAUAGGCGGUAGAGCACUGAUCGGGCUAGGGGCCAUAAAGGUUACCGAACCCUGUCAAACUCCGAAUGGAUAUACUGCAGAGCCUGGGAGUCAGACUACGAGUGAUAAGAUCCGUGGUCAAAAGGGAAACAGCCCAGACCACCGGCUAAGGUCCCAAAUGCCGUACUAAGUGGAAAAGGAUGUGGGGAUUCAUAAACAACCAGGAUGUUGGCUCAGAAGCAGCCACCAUUUAAAGAGUGCGUAAUAGCUCACUGGUCGAGAGUCCCUGCGCCGAAAAUUUCCGGGGCUAAAGUACGGAACCGAAGCCGUGGCUGUGCAUGUAAGUGCACGGGGUAGGGGAGCGUUGCCACAGGGGUGAAGCUGGUCUGGAAGGACUGGUGGACUUGUGGGAAGUGAGAAUGUUGGUAUGAGUAGCGAAAAGAAAGGUGAGAAUCCUUUCCACCGAAAGCAUAAGGAUUCCUGAGCAACGAUCGUCGUCUCAGGGUAAGUCGGGACCUAAUCCGAGGCAAAGAGCGUAGGAGAUGGACAACAGGUUGAUAUUCCUGUACCGGCAGUAAUUGUUUGAGCGAAGGAGUGACACAGAAGGGCAGGCAGGCGCGAGACUGGAUUGUCGCGUGCAAGCGUGUAGGGUAGUGUACAGGCAAAUCCGUACACUCUGGGCCUGAGGCGUUACGCGGAGCGAGCAGAGAUGCGAGCGAAGCUGCUGAUCCCACACUGUCGAGAAAAGCUUCUAGUGAGAGAGCUGCCGCCCGUACCGUAAACCGACACAGGUAUGCGGGGAGAGAAUCCUAAGGUGCGCGGGAGAACCCUCGUUAAGGAACUCGGCAAAAUGUACCCGUAACUUCGGGAUAAGGGUAGCCGUCUUGGUGAAGGAGCUUGCCUCUGGAGCUGAAGGCGGUCGCAGAGAAGAGGCCCAAGCGACUGUUUACCACAAACACAGGUGCCUGCUAAAGCGAAAGCUGACGUAUAGGUGCUGACACCUGCCCAGUGCUGGAAGGUUAAGGAAGGAUGUCCGGGCAACCAAAGCAUUCGACCGAAGCCCCAGUGAACGGCGGCCGUAACUAUAACGGUCCUAAGGUAGCGAAAUUCCUUGUCAGGUAAGUUCUGACCCGCAUGAAAGGCGUAAUGAUCUGGGCACUGUCUCAACAGCCCGCCCGGCGAAAUUGUAGUACCGGUGAAGAUGCCGGUUACCCGCGACAAGACGGAAAGACCCCAUGGAGCUUUACUGUAGCCUAAUAUUGGGUUUCGGUGUUGCAUGCACAGGAUAGAUGGGACGCUAGGAAGUGAGUGCUUUGGCAUUCAUGGAGCGGCCGUUGGGAUACCAUCCUUGCGACAUUGGAAUUCUAACCUGCGCCUUUGAAUCAAGGCGGGGGACAUUGUUAGGUGGGCAGUUUGACUGGGGCGGUCGCCUCCUAAAGAGUAGCGGAGGCGUUCAAAGGUUGGCUCGUCCUGGACGGAAACCAGGAGAGAGAGUGCAAACGCAAAAGCCAGCCUGACUGCGAGACUGACGGGUCGAGCAGAGACGAAAGUCGGAGUUAGUGAUC
rnacentral:rRNA from 1 species